AUUGAACGCUGGCGGCAGGCCUAACACAUGCAAGUCGAGCGGAUGAAGGGAGCUUGCUCCUGGAUUCAGCGGCGGACGGGUGAGUAAUGCCUAGGAAUCUGCCUGGUAGUGGGGGAUAACGUCCGGAAACGGGCGCUAAUACCGCAUACGUCCUGAGGGAGAAAGUGGGGGAUCUUCGGACCUCACGCUAUCAGAUGAGCCUAGGUCGGAUUAGCUAGUUGGUGGGGUAAAGGCCUACCAAGGCGACGAUCCGUAACUGGUCUGAGAGGAUGAUCAGUCACACUGGAACUGAGACACGGUCCAGACUCCUACGGGAGGCAGCAGUGGGGAAUAUUGGGCAAUGGGCGAAAGCCUGACGCAGCCAAGCCGCGUGUGUGAAGAAGGUCUUCGGAUUGUAAAACACUUUUAGUUGGGAAGAAGGGCAGUAAGUUAAUACCUUGCUGUUUUGACGUUACCAACAGAAUAAGCACCGGCUAACUUCGUG
rnacentral:rRNA from 1 species